rnacentral:lncRNA from 1 species
AAAUUGAUUCAAACCCAUGAAAGUUCCAAACAACAAGGUUUAUGGAAUUUGACCCAAAAAUUAGUGAAUCAAACAACCAAUACACUAUAUUGGAGCAGAAUUUGCUACCUUGGUCCCCCAGCCAUCAAUCACACUUAAAGGACAUAACACCACUGCAUAUGGUACCCACUAUAUAAGAAUCCUAUAAUCACCUAAAAGAUUUUUAGGGGAAUUCCACUUUCACAAAUUCCACUUUCACAUUCCAUAUAUCUGGAAUGGAAAACUGAAAAAUGCACCAUGUAUAAGAGGUGUUAUUACCAUUUACAUGUCACGUACUUGAAAUCAGUAAAUUAAAUAGACAUAACAGAAUAUGUUAUUUGUUACCCCAUAAAAAUAGCAGCAUGUAAUUUUGUAACUUUCUGAU